rnacentral:rRNA from 1 species
UACGAAGGGGGCGAGCGUUAUUCGGAAUCACUGGGCGUAAAGCGUGCGUAGGCUGUUUCGCAAGUUGGAAGUGAAAGCCCAGGGCUCAACCCUGGAAUUGCUUUCAAAACUGCGAGACUCGAGUCCGGGAGAGGAUAGCGGAAUUUCCAGUGUAGUAGUGAAAUACGUAGAUAUUGGAAGGAACACCAGUGGCGCAAGCGGCUAUCUGGACCGGUACUGACGCUGAGGCACGAAAGCGUGGGGAUCAAACAGG